rnacentral:lncRNA from 1 species
GAAGUUCUAAACGAUUUUUGCAUACGUUUUUAAAGAUAUGGUCCACGACAAUGAAAGAGUUUAUUGGUGUCACUUGCACUGAGAGUUUGUGCUCUUGACUUUUCAGUCAGUGAUAGCCGGCAGACUGCGAAAUACAUUUAAUUAAUUCAGUUAAACAUAAUUUAUGAAACUGAUUAUUAACAUAGACGGUUGAAAACAUUGCACUUGUCACGUCAGCGUCAAGCGAUAUGCAGGAGACGGUGCGAACAGGACAUCAUUUUAAUGCAUUUUAUUUGUAAGGAAUGACGCGGUUUAUGAGGUGUCCAAAAGUGAACCGACUGCGCCUCCAUUUUGAAAAUAACGCGUGACUUUGCGUCAGGACGUUUUUAAUUAAAAUAAGUAAAGUAAACGACACAUAUUUCUUCAUUAAUGGAGUUUCAGAAAACAAGGACAUAGCUCGACAUGCCAUGGUAUUGUGUCGAGGUUACUAAGUUUUUUUUUUUUUUUUUAAACGAGGUCUUGGGACCAGCUUUAAUCAUCCAUUGCAAACGUGACAACGACGUCUUCGUGUCUAUUUUUGACAAAAACGAUUAAACACCCAUUCUGAUGUAUUUAUCCUUGAAGUUAUAACAACGGUCUUCAUGUCUUAGGAAUGGAACAUUUAAACUCCCAUUCUGAACUGAAGAUGAUGUAAUCAAGGAAACUGAUCCAAAAAUGAGUAACAUCACCCUCCCAAAACCUGAUGAGGACUCAGAUGCCACAGGUGUGGAUCAUCAGGACUUGGUCUCACCUGGUCCCAGCAGUGAUUCCAGGGAAAACAGUUCUUCCCAAAUUUCUGCCACUGGUGUAAUUAUACACCGAAGGACCCCGAUUAAGAGGCCUGUCUCACCCACUUUCAGCGUGUGUUCUAUGAAAAGUGAACAGUCAAUAGACAUGCCUCCAACUGUGAGUGAGGGAAACAUCUCUCCUUCAAGCUCUUUCAGCAGUCUUUCUGAAGAAUCUGGCAUCAGAAACAGAAACAUCUUGUCUGGAGAUGUGGCAUGUGAUGCGUGCACUGAGAAGAUGGAAAGAGCUGUGAAGUUCUGCCUGACCUGCAGCGUGUCCUACUGUGAGGCUCAUGUCCGACAGCACUACACUGUACCAGCACUGCAGAGGCACGUCUUGGAGGAGCCCAGAAAACACAAGGAGGAGAGGGGGAAAAUUCAGGUGAGGAUCUGCUCUCCAAGGGUGAGCUCACGUGAUGCGAACAGCAGUGCGACACACAGAUGCUGGGUGCACUCACUGAAAUACUAAGAGACAAACACCGAAGGCUCUGAUAUGCGUCAUAUUACACACUCAAAACUUUUUUCAAAAACAGCUUAUAAGAAAUAUUUA